rnacentral:rRNA from 1 species
UACGUAGGUGGCAAGCGUUGUCCGGAAUUAUUGGGCGUAAAGCGCGCGCAGGCGGUCUCUUAAGUCUGAUGUGAAAUCCCGUGGCUUAACCACGGGCGGUCAUUGGAAACUGGGGGACUUGAGUGCAGAAGAGAAGAGCGGAAUUCCACGUGUAGCGGUGAAAUGCGUAGAGAUGUGGAGGAACACCAGUGGCGCAGGCGGCUCUUUGGUCUGUAACUGACGCUGAGGCGCGAAAGCGUGGGGAGCAAACAGG